AUACGAAGGGGGCCUAGCGUUGUUCGGAAUUACUGGGCGUAAAGCGCAUGUAGGCGGACAUUUAAGUCAGGGGUGAAAUCCCGGGGCUCAACCUCGGAACUGCCUUUGAGUACUGGGUGUCUAGAGUGUGGAAGAGGUAAGUGGAAUUCCGAGUGUAGAGGUAGAAAUUCGUAGAUAUUCGGAGGAACACCAGUGGCGAAGGCGGCUUACUGGUCCAUUACUGACGCUGAGGUGCGAAAGCGUGGGGAGC
rnacentral:rRNA from 1 species